rnacentral:rRNA from 1 species
AAACAUGUCUUUGAGAGAUUAUGCAAAGUCAUGCCUGCACACUGAAUGUUUAAAGAGCUGCAGUAUUCUAACUGUACUAAGGUAGCAUAAUAGAUUGCUUUUUAAAAGGGGGCUUGAAUGAAAGGUUUGAUGUUAGGAGACUUUUUUUUUGUUUAAUAUAAAUUUAAUUUUUAGUAAAAAAUCAAAGAUGGUUUUGCGGGACGAGAAGACCCUAUAAAAUUUAUUUGUGGUUUUUUGACUAGUUUUAAGUGGAGGUUACAAAUUGGUUGGGGCGACUAUUAUAUAAUUAGUGACUGUAAAUAUUGCAUCUCAGAUUGGAGAUUUUUUUGCCCCUAGAAGGUAUUAAGGAUCAAGAGUUCAAAUUACUUUAGGGAUAACAGCGUUAUUUUUUCAAGAGCCCUUAUCGAAGAAGAAGUUUGCGACCUCGAUGUUGAAUUAAGGGAUCUUUUGGGCGCAGCAGC